rnacentral:rRNA from 1 species
UAUAGCAAAGAGGAUACACCUGUUCCCAUUCCGAACACAGAAGUUAAGCUCUUUAGCGCCGAUGGUACUUGGUGGGAAGCUGCCUGGGAGAGUAGGACGUAGCCGCGU